UUUUAUUUAUUUUUCUUUGAAAAUCAAGAAAAAUCUAAGAAAUUAAAGAAAAUCUUUGAUUAUAUGCCUAUGCAAGAACAUACUAAUCACAUAUUUAUGUGUCCCAGCUAUAGUUUGAGUAUUGUAGUGCGAAGUACAGAAUCCAAACAUCAUUCGUCGAAGAUUGCAGUAACUUUUUUAAAGAUAGCUUUAUCAGGCCAAUAAUAUAAGAUCACAAACCCACAUCAACAAUGUAAAAAUAGAAGAUACGACUCUACCAAGCACUAGUUUCAGCAGAGAUUGCAAGAUAGGGAUGAAGAAUUAAUAAAACAAAUAUCAAUGUAUGUAUUAUAAAGAUUUAUUAAUCAAUUCAAAUAUUUUCAAGUGCUGCUGCUUCUCUGAUAUAACUCCCAAUCAUAUAUUGUUUUUUAAGAUAUAUUGACCCCCUUGUUGAGAUAUUGUUAAGUUUGUCUCGACCCCCUACUUUAGUCUGACAAGAAAUCUUUCAAAAUUUGUAUUUUGAAUAUAAAUGCCUUGGAUUUAUUAAAAAAAAACUAUAAAAAUAUCUAUUCACAGAUUAAAGAUAUUUAAAAUAAUUGUAUCAGAUUUCGACAUAUUUUAGUCUGUUAUUAAUAUUUAGUAGAAACAUAAUAAAAAUAUUAUUUUUCCAUGUGAGAAGGAAGUUAUACAGAGAAUAUACUAUUUUAAAUAACGGUAUUUAAAAAAAUUACAAUAUAACUAACAAUUAUUAAAUAAAUCAUUUUUUAUAUG